CAGGGUGGAGGAAGAACUACGAGAAGGGUCUUACUUAUGGCGUUUUCUGAAAAUUGUCGCCAACAUGCGAUGCCGUGCACGCUCCACACAUGGCAUAUGACAGAUUUACCCCGCGCGAUGAAGAUUAAAAGGAUCCACAAGUCUUAAGAUCACAGCUGGAAGAUUAUCCUUGGAAGAGCUUUUUCCUGUAAUGAUGGCGAUUAUAUAAUUAAUCGAAUAAUAUGCAAAUUUCUUCGUAAUGAUAUCCGCCGGACUAUUAAUCAAAUUCUAGAUUAUCAGUUUCCAUCACGAAAAGAUGAAGAAAAAUUCAAUUAAUUGCGUAAUAUUAUGCAUUCGGAAAGUAUAUUAUUAUACAUUCCGAACGAAUGUCAUCAUGCAAUUGAUGAUUUUUUAAUAGACGAAAAUAUAUUAAUAAAAUAAUGUUUGUA